AGACGAAGGUGGCGACCGUUGUUCGGAAUCACUGGGCAUAAAGAGCACGUAGGCUGGUAUCUAAGUCGGGUGUGAAAUCCCUCGGCCCAACCGAGGAACUGCGCCCGAUACUGGAUACCUUGAGGACGGGAGGGGAGCGUGGAAUUCCUGGUGGAGCGGUGAAAUGCGUUGAUAUCAGGAGGAACACCGGCGGCGAAGGCGACGCUCUGGACCGUUUCUGACGCUGAGGUGCGAAAGCUAGGGGAGCAAACGGGAUUAGAUACCCCGGUAGUCC
rnacentral:rRNA from 1 species